rnacentral:sRNA from 1 species
GAUCAAUCAAGAGCAGAGAAAAAAAUUCACAUAAUUGCUUUCCUAUAUAAUUCUUUUUCUAUGUAAUAUUUGUUUUUGUUUCACAGCAUGAACAAAUGAUUUUGUUUAGAAUCAUUUCUUUUUUCCUUUUUUUUUUUUUGAGGCAGAGUCUUGCACUGUCGUCCAGGCUGGAGUGUAGUGGUGCGAUCUUGGCUCACUGCAACCUCCACCUCCCGGGUUCAAGCAAUUCUCCUGCCUCAGCCUCCCGAGUAGCUGGGACUACAGACACACACCACCACACCCAGCUAAUUUUUGUAUUUUUAUUAGAGAUGAGGUUUCACCAUAUUGGCCAGGCUGGUCUCGAACUCCUGACCUCGUGAUCCGCCCGUGUCGGCCUCCCAUAGUGCUGGGAUUACAGUAGUGAGCCACUGCGCCUGACCUGGAAUCAUUUGUUUAUUUCUGAAGAUAAGUUUUUUCAGUUGUUAAAUAUUUAUGAUUUUUGUUUUUGUACACCCUAUCUAUAAACAUAAAUGUCACUUGAUUUAUGCUUUUUCUCUUGAUUGCUGUAAUUAACAUCUGUUUUACUUGUCCUAAUACUGUGUUAAAUAAGAAUGAUCUAUAUUUUGCAUUUGACAGCUGUAUGGAGAGGACGCUGGUGACUUUUUUGACACAUAUGCUGCAGCUUUUAUACCUGCUGGAGAAACAAACAGAACAGUGUACAUAGCAGUAUGUGAUGAUGACUUACCAGAGCCUGACGAAACUUUUAUUUUUCACUUAACAUUACAGAAACCUUCAGCAAAUGUGAAGCUUGGAUGGCCAAGGACUGUUACUGUGACAAUAUUAUCAAAUGACAAUGCAUUUGGAAUUAUUUCAUUUAAUAUGCUUCCCUCAAUCGCAGUGAGUGAGCCCAAGGACAGAAAUGAGUCUAUGCCUCUUACUCUCAUCAGGGAAAAGGGGACCUAUGGAAUGGUCAUGGUGACUUUUGAGGUAGAGGGUGGCCCAAAUCCCCCUGAUGAAGAUUUGAGUCCAGUUAAAGGAAAUAUCACCUUUCCCCCUGGCAAAGCAACAGUAAUUUAUAACUUGACAGUACUCGAUGACGAGGUUGGCUAAUGUUACAUACCCAAAUGGGACAAGGAUUCUGUGUUGCAGGACACAGUCCUGUAUAAACUUAGUGUAUUGUGGCCAGUCGCACCUCAGCUAUAAAUAGCUGACUGUUCUGGAAUACAUCUUAUUACUAUUUAUCUUACUUAAUUCACAUUAAAUUACACAUCUAAAAGCUGAUGAAUCUGAAUAUAACUGGCAACCAUACAUCAUACAAAUAUUUAAGCAUU